rnacentral:rRNA from 1 species
UUCGAGUGGCGGACGGGUGAGUAACGCGUGGGGUAACCUGCCUUACACAGGGGGAUAACACCUGGAAACAGGUGCUAAUACCGCAUAAGCGCACAGGGCCGCAUGGCCCGGUGUGAAAAACUCCGGUGGUGUAAGAUGGACCCGCGUCUGAUUAGCUUGUUGGCGGGGUAGGGGCCCACCAAGGCGACGAUCAGUAGCCGGCCUGAGAGGGUGGACGGCCACAUUGGGACUGAGACACGGCCCAAACUCCUACGGAAGGCAGCAG